GCCCAAUUGAUUGAUGGUGCUUGCACCUGAUUGAUUUUGGUCGCCAACGAGUGGCGGACGGGUGAGUAACACGUAGGUAACCUGCCCAGAAGCGGGGGACAACAUUUGGAAACAGAUGCUAAUACCGCAUAACAACGUUGUUCGCAUGAACAACGCUUAAAAGAUGGCUUCUCGCUAUCACUUCUGGAUGGACCUGCGGUGCAUUAGCUUGUUGGUGGGGUAAUGGCCUACCAAGGCGAUGAUGCAUAGCCGAGUUGAGAGACUGAUCGGCCACAAUGGGACUGAGACACGGCCCAUACUCCUACGGGAGGCAGCAGUAGGGAAUCUUCCACAAUGGGCGCAAGCCUGAUGGAGCAACACCGCGUGAGUGAAGAAGGGUUUCGGCUCGUAAAGCUCUGUUGUUAAAGAAGAACACGUAUGAGAGUAACUGUUCAUACGUUGACGGUAUUUAACCAGAAAGUCACGGCUAACUACGUGCCAGCAGCCGCGGUAAUACGUAG
rnacentral:rRNA from 1 species